UGGUGUAUUUGGGAAANACAGGCUCGAC
rnacentral:piRNA from 1 species